CACAUAGACAUGGCCGCAGAAAGAAUGCAGCGGGGAGGUGGGGAGGGGGGGCUGUGCCAUGGUCCCAAUGGGCUAAACAAGAAGGACAAGAGCUACGCACGACAGUUCUUCAUCUUCAUCUCCAAAUAGAGGGCAGAUCUUGUAACAGGAGGGACUGUGCGUGUUAAUAAUAGAAAUCAGCUCAGCCUCUUUCUGGCUGGGCAACCUUGAGCAAGUCGCUUAGCCUCUCUGGGCCUCGAUUUCUUCAUCCACAAGAUGGAGAAUAAAAUCAUACUUUCAUUGCAGGGCCAAGGGGUCUCAGCCAACUGACGUUAGUACAGCAGGGUCCGACACGCGUUAGCCUUGUAACUAUCAGCUGUAGUUAUUAUUCAAUAUCUACCUUCUUAUGGUCACAGGCUAUGGAGGAGAGAGUGCUCCACCGGCAGGAGCACUCCUGACAGUGCUCCCAAGCAUGAAGUCGCUGGAUCCUCACAGUACUCACCAGGGGUUGAUGCCUUUCUCCCAUUUUACAGAGAGGUAAAGACACUUGCCCACAGCCACACAGCAAAGAAAAACAGACAAGACCCAGGACCUAAUGAUGGCCGCUUUGCUCUUAGAAGAAGAAGAAAAAGAAAGAAAGAUACAGAGAGAAAACAGCCACAGGAAAGGGUCUGAAAAACAUCAAGUAGGCCAGGCUGGGCACCCCUAUUCCAGGAAUCCUCCCAACUCUGUCAUCAUGGUUUUGAGAUUAUAAGGCCCAGUCUUUUACAUGGGUCUAGCACUUUGCUGACUGAGGAACUUUUCCUGACCCAAGGACACAAAAGACCAAUCAUCCAUCCACCCAUCUAUGUUGCUUUCCCUUUUUUUUCAGAUUUAUUCUAUUUUAUUUUAAAUAUUUAUUUAUUUUAUGUAUGUGAGUACACUGUAGCUGUCUUCAGACACACCAGAAGAAGUCAUCAGAUCCCAUUACAGAUGGCUGUGAGCCACCAUGUGGUUACUGGGAAUUGAACUCAGGACCUCUGGAAGAGCAGCCAGCGCUCUUAACUGCUGAGACAUCUCUCCAACCUUAUUUAUUUUAUUUUUAUGUAUACGUCUGAGUGCCUAAAUCAACAUGUAUCCCUGGUGCUCUCAGAGGCCAGAAGAGGCCAUCAGAGCCCCUGGACUUGCCUUGUGGGAACUGGGAAUCAAAUGAGGCUUAGCCACGGAGCCAUCUCUAUAGCCUGCCUCCCCCUCCCCCUUCUGAGAUAAAGUUAUGUCAUGUAGCUCAGGAUGGCCCAGGACUCUGUAACUCAGCUGGCCUCGAGCCCAGGGUCCUCAUGUUUUAACCUCUCAUGUGUUAAAGACACGAAUCCCCACGGCCGGCUCAGAAACGGCAUCUUGCAAUAUUUAUACAGUGCAUACAUCUGCAGGCCCAAGCCACAGAAAGCAGACCUCUGCUGGUCUCUGGGCCAGAUGAUGCUCAGGUUCUAUCUUUGGAUGAAGAAAGAAGAUGUGGUGAGAGACAUCUUCUGAUGGGCUGUGCUCUACAAUGGUGCCCUGCUGCAGGAAGCUGGGCUGAGGUCUAGAUGACCAACCUCUCCCGGUAGCAGACCAAGAGCUGCGGAAGAUCCAGAAGAAGAGGAUACCUACAAUCUUCAAAUAGAUCGGACUCAAGUCACAGCAAGACUGCACAGCUGCAAUGGGCUACUGGGCUACCCCACCCCAUGAGUUCUUCACCACGGAAGCCCCCGGAGGCCCCACAAAACAACACAGUUUACUACUAUUGCUCCAGGAUGACCAACAGAACUGUGUGGUAAGACCCUGUUGCUGAAGAUACCACAUGCUUGGUUGCAGGACAGAGAGAGACCAGAAAUACAGAGUCAAGUGAAACAAAGACGCUUGGAAGAAAGAACAAGGCGGGAGGUCUCAGGCUACCUGAUAUCAAGACCUUCUGGAGGGCUGGGGAGAAGACUCCUUGGCGGAAAAUCAUGGCGCGCAAGUGUGAAGACCUGGGGUCAGACCCCCCACACACCCAUGUAAAGCCGGCUGAGGCAGCAUGCAUCCCCAAUCCCAGGUCUCCUACGGAGGCAUGGAAGACAGAGGCAGAAGAGACCCUGAAGUCUAUAGACAAGAAAGCAGGGGGAUGGAGAGACUGCUCAGCUGUGGACUGCUCUUGUGGAAGACCAGUGGUCAUGUCCAAGAAUCCACAUCACAACCAAUUGUAAAUCUAGGACCUGGGGACCCAACAUCUCUGGCCUCUGUAGGGACCUGUACUCCCAUGCACACACCCACACAUAGAUACAUACUUAACAAUAAAACAAUCUCCAAAGGUCCUGAGUUCAAAUCCCAGCAACCACAUGGUGGCUCACAACCAUCCAUAAUGAUAUCUGACACCCUCUUCUGGUGUGUCCAAAGACAGCUGUGUGUACUUACAUAUAAUAAUAAAUACAUCUUUAAAAAUGCCAUCUUGGCUGGGCAGUGGUGGCGCACACCUUUAAUCCCAGCACUUGGGAAGCAGAGGCAGGUGAAUUUCUGAGUUCGAGGCCAGCCUGGUC